GUGGGGAAUAUUGGGCAAUGGGCGAAAGCCUGACCCAGCAACGCCGCGUGAAGGAAGAAGGUUUUCGGAUCGUAAACUUCUAUCCUUGGUGAAGAUAAUGACGGUAGCCAAGAAGGAAGCCCCGGCUAACUACGUGCCAGCAGCCGCGGUAAUACGUAGGGGGCAAGCGUUGUCCGGAAUGAUUGGGCGUAAAGGGCGCGUAGGCGGCCCGGUAAGUCUGAAGUGAAAGUCCUGCUUUUAAGGUGGGAAUUGCUUUGGAUACUGUCGGGCUUGAGUGCAGGAGAGGUAAGCGGAAUUCCCGGUGUAGCGGUGAAAUGCGUAGAGAUCGGGAGGAACACCAGUGGCGAAGGCGGCUUACUGGACUGUAACUGACGCUGAGGCGCGAAAGUGUGGGGGGCAAACAGGAUUAGAAACCCCAGUAGUCC
rnacentral:rRNA from 1 species